UACGUAGGGUGCAAGCGUUGUCCGGAAUUAUUGGGCGUAAAGAGCUCGUAGGCGGUUUGUUGCGUCGGCUGUGAAAUCCCGAGGCUCAACCCCGAGCCUGCAGUCGAUACGGGCGGGCUAGAGUUCGGUAGGGGAGACUGGAAUUCCUGGUGUAGCGGUGAAAUGCGCAGAUAUCAGGAGGAACACCGGUGGCGAAGGCGGGUCUCUGGGCCGAUACUGACGCUGAGGUGCGAAAGCGUGGGGAGCAAACAGG
rnacentral:rRNA from 1 species